GAUGAACGCUAGCGGGAGGCCUAACACAUGCAAGCCGAGCGGUAGAGUCUCUUCGGAGACUUGAGAGCGGCGCACGGGUGCGGAACACGUGUGCAACCUGCCUUUAUCUGGGGGAUAGCCUUUCGAAAGGAAGAUUAAUACCCCAUAAUAUACUGGAUGGCAUCAUCUGGUAUUGAAAACUCCGGUGGAUAGAGAUGGGCACGCGCAAGAUUAGAUAGUUGGUGGGGUAACGGCUCACCAAGUCAGCGAUCUUUAGGGGGCCUGAGAGGGUGAUCCCCCACACUGGUACUGAGACACGGACCAGACUCCUACGGGAGGCAGCAGUGAGGAAUAUUGGACAAGGGGUGAGAGCCUGAUCCAGCCAUCCCGCGUGAAGGACGACGGCCCUAUGGGUUGUAAACUUCUUUUGUAUAGGGAUAAACCUAGAUACGUGUAUCUAGCUGAAGGUACUAGACGAAUAAGCACCGGCUAACUCCGUG
rnacentral:rRNA from 1 species